rfam:Picea glauca, whole genome shotgun sequence.
GAAGCUGUGGGAUGUAAAAAUACAUCGGUAGGGGAGCGUUCCACCUCAGAGGGAAGCACCGGCGCGAGCAGGUGUGUACGAAGCAGAAGUGAGAAUGUCGGCUUGAGUAACGCAAACAUUGGUGAGAAUCCAAUGCCCCAAAAACCUAAGGGUUCCUCCGCAAGGUUCGUCCAUAGAGGGUUAGUCAGGACCUAAGAUCAGGCCGAAAGGUGUAGUCGAUGGACAACAGGUUAAUAUUCCUGUACUACCCCUUGUUGGUCCCGAGGGACGGAGGAGGCUAGGUUAACCGAAAGAUGGUUAUUGGUUCAAGGACGCAAGGUGACCCUACUUUUUUCAGGGUAAGAAGGGGUAGAGAAAAUGCCUUGAGCCAAUGUCCGAGUACCAAGCACUACAGCGCUGAAGUAACCCAUGCCAUACUCCCAGGAAAAGCUUGAACGACCUUUAACAAACAGGUACCUGUACCCGAAACCGACACAGGUAGGUAGGUAGAGAAUACCUAGGGGCAUGAGACAACUCUCUCUAAGGAACUCGACAAAAUAGCCCCGUAACUUUGGGAGAAGGGGCGCCUCCUCAGGAGGUCGUAGUGACCAGGCCCGGGCGACUGUUUACCAAAAACACAGGUCUCUGCAAAGUCGUAAGACCAUGUAUGGGGGAUGACACCUGCCCAGUGCUGGAAGGUUAAGGAAGUUAGUGACCUGAUGAUGGGGAAGCCAGCGACUGAAGCCUUGAUGAACGGCGGCCAUAACUAUAACGGUCCUAAGGUAGCGAAAUUCCUUGUCGGGUAAGUUCUGACCUACACGAAAGGCGUAACGAUCUGGGCACUGUCUCAGAGAGAGACUCGGUGAAAUAGACAUGUCUGUGAAUUUUCCGACUACCUGCACCUGAACAGAAAGACCCUAUGAAGAUUUACUGUUCCCUGGGAUUGUCUUUGGGUUCUUCUUGCGCAGCUUAGGUGGAAGGUGAAGAAUGCUCCCUCUCGGGGGGGGCUAAGCCACCAGUGAGAUACCACUCUGGAAGAGCUAGAAUUCUAACCUUGUGUCAGGACCUACGGGCCAAGGGAAAGUCUCAGGUAGAUAGUUUCUAUGGGGCGUAGGCCUCCCAAAAGGUAACGGAGGCAUGCAAAGGUUUCCUCGGGCCGGACGAAAAUCAACCCUUGAGUGCAAAGGCAGAAGGGAGCUUGACUGCAAGACCCACCUGUCAGGCAGGGAUGAAAGUCGUCCUUAGUGAUCCGACGGUGCCGAGUGGAAGGGCCGUCGCUCAAUGGAUAAAAGUUACUCUAGGGAUAACAUGCUUAUCUUCCCCAAGAGUUCACAUUGACGAGAAGGUUUGGCACCUCGAUGUUGGCUCUUCGCCACCUGGGGCGGUAGUACGUUCCAAGGGUUGGGUUGUUCACCCAUUAAAGUGGUAUGUGAGCUGGGUUCAGAACGUCAUGAGACAGUUCGGUCCAUAUCCAGUGCGGGUGUUAGAGCAUUGAGAGGACCUUUCCCUAGUACGAGAGGACCAGGAAGGACGCACAUCUAGUGUACCAGUUAUCAUGCCCAUGGUAGACACUGGGUAGCCAAGUGCAGAGCGGAUAACUACUGAAAGCAUAUAAGUAGGAAGCCCACCCCAAGAUGAGUGCUCUCCUAUUCUUACUUCC